rnacentral:rRNA from 1 species
AUCGAACGCUGGCGGCAGGCCUAACACAUGCAAGUCGAGCGGAUGAAGAGAGCUUGCUCUCUGAUUUAGCGGCGGACGGGUGAGUAAUGCCUAGGAAUCUGCCUGGUAGUGGGGGAUAACGUUCCGAAAGGAACGCUAAUACCGCGUACGUCCUACGGGAGAAAGCAGGGGACCUUCGGGCCUUGCGCUAUCAGAUGAGCCUAGGUCGGAUUAGCUAGUUGGUGAGGUAAUGGCUCACCAAGGCGACGAUCCGUAACUGGUCUGAGAGGAUGAUCAGUCACACUGGAACUGAGACACGGUCCAGACUCCUACGGGAGGCAGCAGCGGGGAAUAUUGGACAAUGGGCGAGAGCCUGAUCCAGCCAUGCCGCGUGUGUGAAGAAGGUCUUCGGAUUGUAAAGCACUUUAAGUUGGGAGGAAGGGCAGUAAGUUACUACCUUGCUGUUUUGACGUUACCGACAGAAUAAGCACCGGCUAACUUCGUGCCAGCCGCCGCCGUAAUAC